rnacentral:rRNA from 1 species
GAUGAACGCUGGCGGCGUGCCUAAUACAUGCAAGUCGAGCGAACAGAUGAGGAGCUUGCUCCUCUGACGUUAGCGGCGGACGGGUGAGUAACACGUGGAUAACCUACCUAUAAGACUGGGAUAACUUCGGGAAACCGGAGCUAAUACCGGAUAAUAUAUUGAACCGCAUGGUUCAAUAGUGAAAGACGGUUUUGCUGUCACUUAUAGAUGGAUCCGCGCCGCAUUAGCUAGUUGGUAAGGUAACGGCUUACCAAGGCAACGAUGCGUAGCCGACCUGAGAGGGUGAUCGGCCACCCGGGAACUGAGACACGGUCCAGACUCCUGCGGGAGGCAGCAGUAGGGAAUCUUACGCAAUGGGCGAAAGCCUGACAGAGCAACGCCGCGUGAGUGAUGAAGGUCUUCGGAUCGUAAAACUCUGUUAUUAGGGAAGAACAAAUGUGUAAGUAACUAUGCACGUCUUGACGGUACCUAAUCAGAAAGCCACGGCUAACUACGUG